UGAGGAAUAUUGGACAAUGGAUGGAAAUCUGAUCCAGCCAUGCCGCGUGCAGGAAGAAUGUCCUAUGGAUUGUAAACUGCUUUUGUAUGGGAGCAAUAAGGUCUUCGUGAAGGCCGAUGAGAGUACCAUACGAAUAAGCACCGGCUAACUCCGUGCCAGCAGCCGCGGUAAUACGGAGGGUGCAAGCGUUAUCCGGAUUUAUUGGGUUUAAAGGGUGCGUAGGCGGUUAUAUAAGUCAGCGGUGAAAUUUUUCGGCUCAACCGGAAACAUGCCGUUGAUACUGUAUAGCUUGAAUAUGGUUGCUGUGAGUGGAAUGUGUAGUGUAGCGGUGAAAUGCUUAGAUAUUACACAGAAUAUCGAUUGCGAAGGCAACUCACAAAGCCAUUAUUGACGCUGAGG
rnacentral:rRNA from 1 species